GGUUCGUUGGUCUAGACGUAUGAUUCUCGCUUUGGGUGCGGGAGGUUCUGGGUUCAAAUCCUGGAUGAGCCC